GGGGGUGAUCGGUUUCGACGGUGGUCGACACAUCAGGGGAAGCGGGUCGAGGAUGCAGGGUUAUCUCGUAAACGCUCCUUGCAAACCAAUAGGUGCCAACUCAAAGCGCACCGACUUCGCCCUCGCCGCCUGAGCGAGCUCCGAAGUCCGUCAGCCUGAGCUAGUUUCCGACUCAGUGUCUGGCGUCAGCUAGGAAACUUGCUGCGUGGUCAUGUUGGGGGGCCACGCGGGACUCGUACUCAACUGGGCCUGUCAGGGAACGUGUGCGCGCGAGCCCUGGGGCCGAGAAAAGCCAUAGCGCACUGCACCCGGAGAAGCCCUGGUUUCUCGUCAUCGGACGCGGGUUCAAUUCCCGCCACCUCCACCA
rnacentral:tmRNA from 1 species